UGCCAGUUACACAGUUACACA
rnacentral:piRNA from 1 species